ACGGAAGGCAGCAGUGAGGAAUAUUGGUCAAUGGACGGAAGUCUGAACCAGCCAAGUCGCGUGAAGGAUGAAGGUAUUAUGUAUUGUAAACUUCUUUAGCAGUGGAGUAAUAAGGGGAUCGCGAUCCCUGAUGCAAGUACACUGAGAAUAAGGAUCGGCUAACUCCGUGCCAGCAGCCGCGGUAAUACGGAGGAUCCGAGCGUUAUCCGGAUUUAUUGGGUUUAAAGGGUGCGCAGGCGGCUUUUUAAGUCAGUGGUUAAAUCGUGACGCUCAACGUCAUCACGCCAUUGAUACUGGAGAGCUUGAUUGCGGUCGAGGUUUGCGGAAUUCGUUGUGUAGCGGUGAAAUGCAUAGAUAUGACGAAGAACACCGAUUGCGUAGGCAGCAGUCCAGGCCGUAAAUGACGCUCAUGCACGAAAGUGCGGGGAUCGAACAGGAUUAGAUACCCUGGUA
rnacentral:rRNA from 1 species